GACGAACGCUGGCGGCGUGCUUAACACAUGCAAGUCGAACGGAAAGGCCCUGCUUUUGUGGGGUGCUCGAGUGGCGAACGGGUGAGUAACACGUGAGUAACCUGCCCUUGACUUUGGGAUAACUUCAGGAAACUGGGGCUAAUACCGGAUAGGAGCUCCUGCUGCAUGGUGGGGGUUGGAAAGUUUCGGCGGUUGGGGAUGGACUCGCGGCUUAUCAGCUUGUUGGUGGGGUAGUGGCUUACCAAGGCUUUGACGGGUAGCCGGCCUGAGAGGGUGACCGGGCACAUUGGGACUGAGAUACGGCCCAGACUCCUACGGGAGGCAGCAGUGGGGAAUAUUGCACAAUGGGCGGAAGCCUGAUGCAACAACGCCGCGUGCGGGAUGACGGCCUGCGGGUUGUAAACCGCUUUCGCCUGUGACGAAGCGUGAGUGACGGUAAUGGGUAAAGAAGCACCGGCUAACUACGUG
rnacentral:rRNA from 1 species